rnacentral:rRNA from 1 species
UACAGAGGUCCCGAGCGUUGUUCGGAUUCACUGGGCGUAAAGGGUGCGUAGGUGGCGUGGUAAGUUUGAUGUGAAAGCUCAGGGCUUAACCCUGAAAUGGCAUUGAAUACUACUGUGCUGGAGGUUUGGAGGGGGGGACUGGAAUUCUUUGGUGUAGCAGUGAAAUGCGUAGAUAUCAAGAGGAACACCAGUGGCGAAGGCGAGUCCCUGGACAAGCACCUGACACUGGAGGCACGAAAGCGUGGGGAUCAAACAGG